UACAGAGGGUGCAAGCGUUGUUCGGAAUUACUGGGCGUAAAGCGUGCGCAGGCGGUGAGCUGUGUCCGAUGUGAAAGCCCCGGGCUUAACCUGGGAACUGCGUUUGAUACGGCAGGGCUAGAGUUCGGGAGAGGAGAGUGGAAUUCCCAGUGUAGAGGUGAAAUUCGUAGAUAUUGGGAAGGAACACCGGUGGCGAAGGCGGCUCUCUGGACCGAUACUGACGCUGAGGCGCGAAAGCGUGGGGAGCAACAGG
rnacentral:rRNA from 1 species